rnacentral:miRNA from 1 species
CAAAUGCAUGACCUAAUUCUUUAAAAAUGUGUGUGUUUGUGUGUGUGUGUUAUGUAGAGAAGUCAUACACACUAUAUACAUCUAUAUGUAU